CAACAUUAAUCUUCCUCUUCAGAGAGACAUCUCUCAACUCCCAAAUUUCUAGGGUUUCUUCUCUGCACGCCUCCCAAUGCGGACGCAUACGUAAUCUAGCUAUCUACGUACACUGCAACGUACCUAGCUUAUAUAUUCAAUCAGGCUUUAUCAGUUUUGAAAUUGCAGAAGGGCAAUCAAAUGCUUGAAGAUUACCCCAGAUCUUUCAGAGAAGCAGCUGCAGUUUUCCAGCAUGCUCAAGUAUAUGACUCUGACAAGAAAAUUGUCAAGCAUAUGAGACCCAUACCACAAGAGCUUGUGGAGUCCCUUGAUGGAGAACUUGAUUUCCUUGGAUCGUAUUUUUUUGUUAUUUAUUUCUUGUUGUUGUCAGGUUAAAUUUAUACUUACCUAUAAGGUUUGCCUAUUUCAUAUCACAUUUAUUUUCCUUGACCAUAAAUUGAACUAGAGAAAUCCCUUCAUCAAUAGGCAUUGCAAUUGUUGAAAGAAAAUUGGACCCCAUAAGUAUGGAGGUCUUUGAUCAUUUCCCUAGUUCCAUUUCUAGACAUCGGUCAGAUCCCAUUAAGAGCCAAAUUACUCAUCACUUUCAGAGAUCUGAGACUGCUACUGUAUCUACACAAGAAUUUAGGAUGGAACUGAUGAAUUAAAUACUUAUCUACACAAGUAUCGCACAGAGUUAGAUCAACAUCUUGGUGCUCUUGUGGGGAGAUAUAUAAGGAAGCUGAGAAGUUUGCUUAUUAGAAUGGAGCAAAGGUGGCUGUUGUUUAUGGUGGAACGCCAAUGGGUCAGCAAGUUUGUGUCUCUGCAGGCUUACUGGCCAUUCCGUUUUCUAUGACCACUUCUAUGAUUCGGGUGAUUCCAUUCAUGAUCAGAUUGUGAAACUGGUACAGCAGUACACCUAGCUAGUUCCUUUAUUAACUUGUGUCUUGUAGAAAUUUUUCAUUCAUUAAGCAUUUGAACUUGUCUGCAGAUUAGUAGAUAUGAGUUAUUUUGAACUGAUGUUCAUGAUUAGGUUUGUGUACAUGAGACAAUGGUGGAUUAAUAGAAAUUGCAAUGAAUGAUUUUGGA